ensembl:piRNA 21ur-2568 ncRNA
UCAUCCCUCUCGUCAACAUAA